rnacentral:rRNA from 1 species
GCCAGCAGCCGCGGUAAUUCCAGCUCAAUAGCGUAUAUUAAAGUUGUUGCAGUUAAAAGCUCGUAGUUGAAUUUCGGGGGUUAGUAGGUUGGUCAUGCCUCUGGUAUGUACUGAUCUCACUGAUUCCUCCUUUCUGAUGAACCGUAAUGCCAUUAAUUUGGUGUUGCGGGGAAUUUGGACUGUUACUUUGAAAAAAUUAGAGUGUUUAAAGCAAGCUAACGCUUGAAUACAUUAGCAUGGAAUAAUGAAAUAGGACGUUCGAUCCUAUUUUGUUGGGUUUCUAGGGAUUGACGUAAUGAUUAAUAGGGAUAUUGGGGGGCAUUAGGUAUUCAAUUGUCAGAGGUGAAAUUCUUGGAUUUAUUGAAGACUAAACUACUGCGAAAGCAUUUGCCAAGGAUGUUUUCAUUAAUCAAGAACGAAAGUUAGGGGGAUCGAAGACGAUCAGAUACCGUCGUAGUCUUAACCAUAAACUAUGCCGACUAGGGGAUCGGAUGAUGUUAAUUUUUUAAUGACUCAUUCGGCGCCUUACG